rnacentral:rRNA from 1 species
AACGAACGCUGGCGGCGCGUCUUAAGCAUGCAAGUCGAACGGCAAGAGAGGAGCUUGCUUCUCUCCUAGAGUGGCGGACUGGUGAGGAACACGUGGGUAAUCUACCCUUAAGAUGGGGAUAGCUGCUAGAAAUAGCAGGUAAUACCGAAUACACUCGGCAUAUCACAAGAGGUGUUGAGGAAAGGAAGCUACGGCUUCGCUUGAGGAUGAGCUUGCGUCCCAUUAGCUAGUUGGUGAGGUAAAGGCCCACCAAGGCGACGAUGGGUAUCCGGCCUGAGAGGGUGAACGGACACAUUGGGACUGAGAUACGGCCCAAACUCCUACGGGAGGCAGCAGCUAAGAAUAUUCCGCAAUGGACGGAAGUCUGACGGAGCGACGCCGCGUGGAUGAAGAAGGCUGAAAAGUUGUAAAAUCCUUUUGUUAAUGAAGAAUAAGGGUGAGAGGGAAUGCUCAUCUGAUGACGGUAAUCGACGAAUAAGCCCCGGCUAAUUACGUG